CCCAGCACUGGGCUGGGUCCUCUGAAAGAAAUCCCGUAAAACCUCAAGGAGCUCACAGGCUGGAAUAUUCUUUCACAGGCAAGCAAGGACCCAGGGCUGUGCUCAAGCUGGGCUACAAGGGCUGGACCAGGGUCUGGGGUUGGGCAUAGGUUGGGCUGACUUGCAGUUGCUGGCCUUGGAGAAAGGAGAAGCAAAGCCACUGUGAUUGGAGGAAGGAGAUUCAGGAAGCAAGGACAGCUCUUAGUGUCAGUUCCAAUGGUUGGGUAUGAGAAAGAGGGAGUAAAAACUGGGGCUUCAAGAAGGCAGGGACUAUAGUUGUAUUUCCUCCCAGUGUAUUCACAGUGCAUCUGGUUCACCAAAGACUCUCAAGGUGACUUCAUCCAUGGCGGCUGUGUGGCAGCGAGCUACUUGCGCAUCUCUUCUGUUCCGUGAGGUCAUGUUGGCAGCUUGAAAUUGAUCAAGUGGGAAGCAUUUACAUCACAGAAAUUGAUACCAUGAAAGGAUUUGAGCGUUUUUUUAUGUGAAUCCAAAGAUGACAUUUACAAAAGGUGGAGAAGCAGUUCCCUACUGAGGGACGUGGAUACAAAAAGCAGAUGACACAACACAUCCCAUAGAGUUCCCAGGGAAGAAUGAACCCAGAUUCUUGACCUGCAGAGGUGGCGUACUGGCUGGAGAAAUCUCUGGCUGGCGACCGUGCUAUUCUGUCUGUCCACCUAACUGUGGGCUCCCAGAUCACCACUGCCAUGGGCAGGGGGCCGUGGGGUGGGCCUGCUUGGGGUGACAGGCUAGCUGUGCUCCCAUAGCAGAGGUGGGAGAAGGGAAUCACAUCUGGUGAGCAGCUAUGUCGUGCCAGGCACUGUGCUGUGUAUUGCACACAUCUCAAACCUUGUGACAAAUGUGUAAGAUAUUUUUUAUGUAUUACAAAUGAAGGAACUGGGCUCAGAAAAGCUCCAUUAUUUGCCCAAAUUGCAGCAGUAAUGCAGGAAUUUGAAUCCACAUUAAUCUGACUCCACAACCCAUGUUCUUUCACUGAAUUCCCAUAUCCUUGUUCCCCCUACUGUCCUCACUGGUCAAGGUGAGCUUGGUCUUCCACAAACAGGCUAGAAAAGUAUGCUUACUUAUCUUUAGCUUUAUGCUUUUAAACUAAUUCUUAAAAAUCUUCUCUGGAUAAGUCAAAGACAAUGGGAAUGUGUAUUUCUAAUACAUUAAUUAUAAUACAUUACCGGUUUACACAAUGCCAUCACCUUGUCAUUUUCUUUGACACAACGUCCCCCUCCCCUCUAGUUUAUAAAUGAGGACAUUGAGGCACAAAGUGGGUAAGUGACUUGCCCAAGGGGGAGAUUUGUCCAAUCAUAAAGAUGGGCCUGAACUUUUUCUACUUUGCAUUCUUACUUGAAAGGCAGGAAACAUAUGCUCAAGAGGGAGAUCUCACGAAAUUUCAUGUCAUAUAGUGCUCUCGCUAAUUUAAUCCUGUCAUUCCUGGUUAUAUCCCUUUGGAAAAACCACCACCAGUGCCUUCUCUUUUGAUAUAUUUACAGUAAAAAUAUUCCCUGUACAAACCAUCUCACUCUUUCACAGGGAACUGGCUUGGCCCUCUCCCCUGAAGUGGGUUGCACAUCCACCCAGCCCACCCCCAGCUCACUCUAGCUCCCUUCCUGUUAGAAUUUAUUCAGAACCUCCAUUUCUAGGAGGAAGCAAGGAGGGGGCAGUUAUCUUCGUGGACUUGGGUCCUCCUGGACCCUUUGUCCUCAUGGUUAUGUUUCAAACAGAGUUGAGGGCUCCCUAAAGGGGAAAGAUUAUUUAAGUUUUGUAAAUGCUGCCCUCCAAAAACCACUCCACAUAAAUGUUUCAUGGCUUAGCCUCUGUGAGGCCAGAGCUGGAACAUUCAGCUGUGAGGGUGUUUAUAUUUGUGGAACUCUCUUGAACAUUUGCUGUGGGUUUUAAACAGCUGCUAUGCUGAAGCUCUGGGGAUAGGAAGAUCAUGAAUAUUCAGGUGAAGCCACCAGAAUGAACAGCCGUUAAUAGAAUAAAUGCCUAAACAGUUGUGUAAGGCUUAUUAAGACCUAUUGGGGCUGAGAUAAUAAAUUCCCACUCUGACAUGUUGCAACUACUGUCGCUUAAACACUUUGGACCACCUCUUCUGAACUGAAGGAAAAAAUGAUGUUAGUUCUCUGCGCGAAUACAAAGAAACACCUGGAAGCCUUGGCAAGGGGAUGAGAUUUGGCAGAGAUCUUUCCGUGUACCGAUGCAUCCUCAGGAAAAUGAUGUGCCGCUCAUUGUUCCUGUUGUCAAGGUUAUCGCAGUCGACUUCAGGCUGGAACGGGCAUUGCUCUUGCACUGAAGAAAGUCUGUCCUGACUCCCUCAGAGUGCCUCAACAUCAACCAAGAGCCACCGUGAACCUCUGGGGCACUGAGCCUGGCCACCAGCACCCCCACCCCAGCCCAUAUGGCCUGGGCCUCUCCCUUGGUAAGCCUCUUCCAACAGGGUAUCAGAGGAACCAAAUACACACUUACACUGGACGCUUGCUUUUCAUUCGCUUGCUCCAUAAUCCAUAGCAGGGAACACAAUGCAAAGAUUGCAAAUGUAAAAAUGACCUUUCCAAGUGGUAACACCUGGUGUGUUAAAAAGUCCAUUGCAGACUGGGUUUGCAGUGUGCACACUGUAAAUAUGGGGAAUGUGGGAAACAGUAGAGAGGGACUGUUUUCUCCUUUGGGUGUUAGCUGUCACCUUGUGUUAGACUGAGCCAGACUCCUCGGUUCUGGCUCCCACAGUCACAAGGCAUUAACCAAGGGUAUACAGAGGAACUCACCCAGGUUCACACCUAGAGAAGACUCAGUAAUAUUUGAUCAGCAACCUGCUGUCAAUUUAGAUAAAUGGCAUUUGACUUCAAAUAAAGGUGACUAACUCAAUGAAGGAAGCCUGUGCAUAGAAGGCAAUGUUUGCUUCUCCCAAGCUGUCAGGGAGAGCUUGCCCACCCUAGCAGUGGUCACUGAUUUUCUCCACCUCUGAAGACAUGGUGGGGUCCUGCCAAAGACUCUGAGCUGUCAGAAUUCUGGAAGAGACAAACUCACAACAAAGAAAUGCACAUGUCUCAAUGUGGCUUGGGAGGAGUAGCAGAUUUUAGAGUGAUGCUGACCUGAAUUUGAAUUGUGCUCUGCCACUCAAGGUCUGAGUGUCUGAAAGCAAGUUAUUCCACUUCUGUGAGGUAUAGCUGUCUUGCCUGUAACACAGGCAUUAUUCU
rnacentral:lncRNA from 1 species